rnacentral:rRNA from 1 species
GACAGAGGGUGCGAGCGUGUUCGGAAUUACUGGGCGUAAAGCGCGCGCAGGCGGAUCCUGCAAGUCAGAGGUGAAAUCUUACUGCUCAACGGUGAGACUGCUUCUGAUACUGCGGAUCUGGGGACCGGUAGAGGCUGGGUGGAAUUGCAGGUGUAGCGGUGGAAUGGCGUAGAGAUCUGCAAGAACACCCGUGGCGGAAGGCG